AUUGAACGCUGGCGGCAGGCCUAACACAUGCCAGUCGAGCGGAUGAAGGGAGCUUGCUCCUGGAUUCAGCGGCGGACGGGUGAGUAAUGCCUAGGAAUCUGCCUGGUAGUGGGGGAUAACGUCCGGAAACGGGCGCUAAUACCGCAUACGCCCUGAGGGAGAAAGUGGGGGAUCUUCGGACCUCACGCUAUCAGAUGAGCCUAGGUCGGAUUAGCUAGUUGGUGGGGUAAAGGCCUACCAAGGCGACGAUCCGUAACUGGUCUGAGAGGAUGAUCAGUCACACUGGAACUGAGACACGGUCCAGACUCCUACGGGAGGCAGCAGUGGGGAAUAUUGGACAAUGGGCGAAAGCCUGAUCCAGCCAUGCCGCGUGUGUGAAGAAGGUCUUCGGAUUGUAAAGCACUUUAAGUUGGGAGGGAGGGCAGUAAGUUAAUACCUUGCUGUUUUGACGUUACCAACAGAAUAAGCACCGGCUAACUUCGUG
rnacentral:rRNA from 1 species